rnacentral:rRNA from 1 species
GUUGGUUUUACCUGAAGACGGUGUUGCUAACCGCAAGGAGGCAGCCGGCCACGRUAAGGUCAGCGACUGGGGUGAAGUCGUAACAAGGUAGCCGUAGGUGAACCUGCAGAAGGAUCA